AACAUUUAGACUCUGCUUCUUAACUACAGGAAGUCUCCUUAACAACUCUUACUGACAGUGGUUCUCCAUGUUUGCAGACUACAAGAUAAUAGCAUCAUGGGCACCAUCAUGGUCAUCCAGUCUAACCCCCUAUAAUGCAGGAAUAUUUUGCUCAACAUUGGGCUCAAAUACACCCCUGAGAUUAAGAGGCUCAGGCUCUACCAAAUGAGCUGCCUCAGGCCCAGCCCUGCUGCUGGAGAUCCUUGUAACUGGAGCUACUAGGACCUGAAAACUGAACCUUCCAAUUCUGCCCGAUAUUGCCUAUUGCCCUGACACGGAUGCUCAGCAGGGCCUACAGGCCUCUGAGUAGGCUAUGACUAGGGAGAUUAAAUUCAAUUUAAAAGACUUCUUUCGCACUUCUCCUUCUCCAAGAAAAUUCUGGGCAGAAUCUUCAGAGCCCAAAAAUGGAAGCGAGAAGAAUUACCAACGAUGGAAGAAUGGAGGAUGAAAUUAAUGGAUUAUGCGGAACUCGACAAACUAACGGGAAGGAUCCGAAACCGGUGCGACCAGAAAUUUACCGAAGACUGGAGUAAAUUUGUGGAUUAUUUGAAAAGUAUAUGUGAUGAUCAGACGACGUUUGUAGGUUUGCAAGAAGUUCUGUGAGGGAUAACAUUAGAAAUAUUGUAAAAAUGGAGAAGGAGAGAUGAUAUGUUAUGAGAUCUAAAGGCAAUAUUAAGUUAGGAAAUGCAGAAAAAGUGUUUAAGACGGAGGAUUAUCAGAGGUGCUGAUGGAAGUCCAAUAAUGAAUGUAUUUGUGAUAA